GACGAACGCUGGCGGCGUGCUUAACACAUGCAAGUCGAACGCUGAAGCUCAGCUUUUGUUGGGUGGAUGAGUGGCGAACGGGUGAGUAUCACGUGAGUAACCUGCCCCCUUCUUUGGGAUAACGCCCCGAAACGGCUGCUCUUAUUGCAUAUUCACUGUUCUUCGCAUGGGGUCUGUUGGAAAGGGUUUUUCUGGUGUGGGAUGGGCUCGCAGCCUCUCGGCUUGUUGGUGGGGUGAUGGUCUACCCAGGCGUUGACGGCUAGCCGGCCUGAAAGGGUGAACGGGAACAUAGGGACGGAGAGACGGCCCAGGCGCGUACGGGGGGCGGCAGUGGGGAAUAUGGCAGAAUGGGCGCAAGCCUGAUGCAGCGACGGCGCGUGAGGGAUGGAGGCCUUCGGGUUGUGAACCUCUUUCGCAAAUGGUGAAGCCGCAACAAUGGUUGUGGUGAGGGUAGUGGGUAAAGAAGCGCCGGCUAACUACGUG
rnacentral:rRNA from 1 species